rnacentral:lncRNA from 1 species
AUGCAACCCCGAGACGUGGCUUUUCAUUCCUUUGGCUGCUUCUCUGCCAUUCAUCGCAUACAGUGGAGGAGCAUGCAUGGUUACGCCACUUCACAGAAGUGUAGCAUUACCAAAGAGGUCUGCGUGUCGCUGCGUGCGCAGCUCUGCAGCAUCCUACUCGCAUCCUCUACGCCACUGCCCGGACCCCUGUCCACCCCCUAUGAAAGAAGCAGCCCUCUCAUCACUACUUUGCUUGCUUCUGGUCUGCUCUGUUGUUUAAUGCAACGUUUGGAAAGCUUGUACCCUUAAUAUAUUGUGAUGGCCUGAGAAUAUCUGAAACAUUUUAAAUUAAGCUAAGUUUUUGAUCUUAAACUGGAUUGUUGGCAUGCAUCCUUUACAAGCUCUUUCAGAAAAUUUUAAGCUAAAACACACUUUAUAAAAUCACUGGUUAAAUAAAGAAAAAAAACUUUUCUAAAAUACCUGACUU